AUUCCAUGUGUUGAUGAAUCGGGCUGAAUUCAGGCUGCUUAACUAAUUUUCGAAGGUCCUUGCACCAUUGAGAAUGCCAAGGUCUAUCUCUGCCAUUAUUAAGAUCUGCCCAACCACCAUAUUUGGAUGUUAGAAUUCUAACCCAUAGUUGGUUUUGAUUAGAGGCUAAAUCCCAUAGCCAUUUACCCAACAAAGCUACAUUAAAACUAGUAAUAUCCUUAAUCCCAAGACCCCCAAACUCCUUGGGAAAUUUAUGGAUUUAUGAAAAAAGGCAGUGUUACUGUCACCUUCCUUGACCAUCCCAGAGCUUUUCUUGAGGCCUUAUCAGGUUAGAUGGGAUGCCACCAUGUU
rnacentral:misc_RNA from 1 species